UACGUAGGGGGCAAGCGUUGUCCGGAUUUACUGGGCGUAAAGCGCGUGUAGGUGGGAGUGCAAGUCCGGUGGGAAAGCCCGCGGCUCAACCGCGGAAGUUCGCUGGAAACUGUGCUUCUUGAGGGUGAUAGAGGGAAGUGGAAUUGCUGGUGUAGCGGUGAAAUGCGUAGAUAUCAGCAGGAACACCCGUGGCGAAGGCGGCUUCCUGGAUCACCCCUGACACUGAGACGCGAAAGCGUGGGGAGCAAACAGG
rnacentral:rRNA from 1 species